rnacentral:rRNA from 1 species
UACGUAGGGGGCAAGCGUUGUCCGGAAUCAUUGGGCGUAAAGCGCGUGUAGGCGGCUCGGUAAGUCUGCUCUGAAAGCCCGGGGCUCAACCCUGGGAGGCGGGUGGAUACUGCUGAGCUCGAGUCCGGAAGAGGCGAGUGGAAUUCCUGGUGUAGCGGUGAAAUGCGCAGAUAUCAGGAGGAACACCAAUGGCGAAGGCAGCUCGCUGGGACGGUACUGACGCUGAGGAGCGAAAGCGUGGGGAGCGAACAGG